GCCCACCCGAUUAGCAUUACCACGCUCGAUGGGUUGGAAUUAGAAAACGUGGCGGUGUACAAAUACUUAGGUGUCUGGUUAGACAGUUCCCUCUCCUUCCAGCAACACAUAAACCACCUUCAGUCUAAAGUUAAGUCUAGGAUCGGUUUCCUAUUCCGCAACAAGGCCUCUUUCACUCACACUGCCAAACUCGCCUUUGAUGUCAAUUACAGAACUGCCUCAAACUCUCUCCUGAAAAAACUAGAUGUUGUCUACCACAGUGCCAUACGUUUUGUGACCAGAGCCCCCUAUAACACCCACCACUGAAACCUCUAUGCAUUAGUUGGCUGGCCCUCGUUGCUUAACUCACUGGUACCAACUCAUUUACAAAUCCUUGCUAGGUAAAGCCCCGCUGUACAUACGCUCACUGGUCACCAUAGCUUUACCCACCUGCGCUCUAGCAGUUAAAUCUCCUUGGUCACCCCAAAAGCCCACACCUCCUUUGGCCGCCACUCCUUCCAGUUCUCAGCUGCAAAUGAUUGGAAUGCACUU